rnacentral:rRNA from 1 species
AUUGAACGCUGGCGGCAUGCCUUACACAUGCAAGUCGAACGGUAACAGGUCUUCGGAUGCUGACGAGUGGCGAACGGGUGAGUAAUACAUCGGAACGUGCCUAGUAGUGGGGGAUAGCUACUCGAAAGAGUGGCUAAUACCGCACGAGAUCUACGGAUGAAAGCAGGGGAUCGCAAGACCUUGUGCUACUAGAGCGGCCGAUGGCAGAUUAGGUAGUUGGUGGGAUAAAAGCUUACCAAGCCGACGAUCUGUAGCUGGUCUGAGAGGACGACCAGCCACACUGGGACUGAGACACGGCCCAGACUCCUACGGGAGGCAGCAGUGGGGAAUUUUGGACAAUGGGCGCAAGCCUGAUCCAGCCAUGCCGCGUGCGGGAAGAAGGCCUUCGGGUUGUAAACCGCUUUUGUCAGGGAGGAAAUCCCUUGGGUUAAUACCUCGGGGGGAUGACGGUACCUGAAGAAUAAGCACCGGCUAACUACGUGCCAGCCGCCGCCGUAA